rnacentral:lncRNA from 1 species
GCUGCCCCAGCUGGCAGUGGCAAUCCUCUCCGGUCCCCUUCCGGGCUGUGGGAGCUUUGUUCUUUUGCUCUUUGCAAUAAAUCUUGCUGCUGCUCGCUCUUUGGGUCCACAUUGCCUUUGUGAGCUGUAACACUCACGGCGAAGGUCUGCAGCUUCACUCCUAAAGCCAGAGAGACCACAAACCCACCGGGAGGAACGAACAACUCCAGACGCGCGGCCUUAAGAGCUGUAACACUCACCGCGAAAGUCUGCAGCUUCACUCCUAAAGCCAGCGAGACCACGAACCCACCAGGAGGAACGAACAAUUCCAGAUGCGCCGCCUUAGGAGCUGUAACACUCACCGCGAAGAUCUGCAGCUUCACUCCUGAGCCGGCGAGACCACGAACCCCACCAGAAGGAAGAAACUCCGGACACGCCGCCUUUAAGAACUAUAACACUCACGGCGAGGGUCCACGGCUUCAUUCUUGAAGUCAGUGAAACCAAGAACCCACCAAUUCCGGACACAGCAGGAUCCCACCCACAGAACCGCCAGGUGCACAGCUGCAUAUCCUCAGGGGAAAACUCCCCUCCCCUGCCACCUUACUGAUAGGCUUCACUUCCCAGAGAACUUUCCCAAUCCUGUGCAAUGCCUGAGUGGUACAUUGUAUUCUAUGAGAAUGGCGCCCCCGCCUCCAGAGUUGUGCAACAAGACUUCCAUGAAUCAAAGCCCAUCGCUGGCUGCCUCCUCUAGCCCUGCAUAGCCCAGGUACAUCUGAAAGGAGUGAGAAGUGUUUUGAGGGCUCUCCCUGUCUCUUCCUGCACCUCUCUCUUGUGAUCCCAGAAGCUACAACCUCAGCCCAGAUUAGCAGGCUGAGGGGUCAGGAGGCUGUCACUGGAGCUGUUGAGCUCAUGAACACGCCGAAGUUGCUGCGCUCCAGAAAUGUGGAAGUUGGAAUGAAGAGCCACCACUGCUGCCACCAACAUGAAGCUUGACCAAGCAAGCCAAGAAAAGAUGGCCAAGAGCCUCUGCCUUCCUUCUGCCUUCUGCAACGCAAUGGUGAGCUGCACAUCCACAACUUGAAGGGAGUCUGGGAAAUGCAGAGUUAAACUUUCUAGCCUCUCUAAGCUUUCAACUGUUACAGAAAGGCAACCCAGGAGGAGACUGGAAUAAAUGCUGAGUGCCAAUUUCCAACACAAGUAGUCAUUAUAAUUGGGAAAGUUUCAAAGAAAUCUCUGGAGCCGGGAAUGGUGUUGUGUGCCUGUAGUCCCAGCUACUCAAGAGGCUGAGGUGGGAGAAUCACUUGAGCUCAG